UUAGCCAUGUAGAACAUGGUCUUUAUAUUUAUAGUGUCUUGGCCAAAUCUUGUGCCAGCAGUCGCGGUAAGACAAGAGAGACUAGCGUUUUUCAUCUUUAUUAGGUUUAAAGGGUACCUAGACGGUUUAUCUAUCCUUGAAAAGGAAACGGAUUAAACUAGAGUUUGAUAUGGGAGGUAGAUUUAGUAUUGAAAGAGAAGAGAUAAAAUUUUUUUAUACUUUCGAGACUGAUAAUGGUGAAAACAAUCCUCUAUGUAAUAACUGACGUUAAGGGACGAAGGCAUGGUUAUCGAAUAGGAUUAGAUACCCUAAUAGUCCAUGCAGAAAAUGAUGAAUGUCAUAAAUGUUUAAUCUAAUUUGAACUCUAUUAAAUUAGUUUAAUGUUUAUAAAUGAAAGUGUAAACAUUCCACCUCAAGAGUACUACGGCAACGUAUAAACUGAAAUCAUUAGACCGUUUCUGAAACCAGUAGUGAAGUAUGUUAUUUAAUUCGAUAACCCUCGAAAAACCUUACCUCAAUUUGAAUAAAAAUAGUAUACUAUACUAUUUUAACAAGCGUUGCACGGCUGUCUUCAGUUAAUGUCGUGAGAUCUGGUUAACCCCUUUAAUUAACGCAAGCCCUAUAUUU
rnacentral:rRNA from 2 species